CAAGUCGAACGGUAGCAGGAUGUGCUUGCACAUCGCUGACGAGUGGCGGACGGGUGAGUAAUGCUUGGGAACUUGCCUUUGCGAGGGGGAUAACAGUUGGAAACGACUGCUAAUACCGCAUAAUGUCUACGGACCAAACGGGGCUUAGGCUCCGGCGCAGAGAGAGGCCCAAGUGAGAUUAGCUAGUUGGUGGGGUAAAGGCUCACCAAGGCAACGAUCUCUAGCUGUUCUGAGAGGAAGAUCAGCCACACUGGGACUGAGACACGGCCCAGACUCCUACGGGAGGCAGCAGUGGGGAAUAUUGCACAAUGGGGGAAACCCUGAUGCAGCCAUGCCGCGUGUGUGAAGAAGGCCUUCGGGUUGUAAAGCACUUUCAGUUGUGAGGAAAAGUUAGUAGUUAAUACCUGCUAGCCGUGACGUUAACAACAGAAGAAGCACCGGCUAACUCCGUGCCAGCAGCCGCGGUAAUACGGAGGGUGCGAGCGUUAAUCGGAAUUACUGGGCGUAAAGCGCACGCAGGCGGUUUGUUAAGCUAGAUGUGAAAGCCCCGGGCUCAACCUGGGAUGGUCAUUUAGAACUGGCAGACUAGAGUCUUGGAGAGGGGAGUGGAAUUCCAGGUGUAGCGGUGAAAUGCGUAGAUAUCUGGAGGA
rnacentral:rRNA from 1 species